rnacentral:misc_RNA from 1 species
GAUGAAGAACGUAGCGAAAUGCGAUAAGUAAUGUGAAUUGCAGAAUUCAGUGAGUCAUCGAAUCUUUGAACGCACAUUGCGCCCGCCAGUAUUCUGGCGGGCAUGCCUGUUCGAGCGUCAUUUCAACCAUCAAGCCCCCGGGCUUGUGUUGGGGACCUGCGGCUGCCGCAGGCCCUGAAAAGCAGUGGCGGGCUCGCUGUCACACCGAGCGUAGUAGAUUUUAUCUCGCUCUGGGCGUGCUGCGGGUUCCGGCCGUUAAACCACCCUUUUAACCCAAGGUUGACCUCGGAUCAGGUAGGAAGACCCGCUGAACUUAAGCAUAUCAAUAAGCGGAGGA